ACUGUAGGUGAAAGCUUACAUCUCUUCGGAGCAUUUUACGAGGUGCUGCAUGGUUGUCGUCAGCUCGUGCCGUGAGGUGUCGGGUUAAGUCCCCAUAACGAGCGCAACCCUACCUUUAGUUGCCAUCAGGUAAUGCUGGGGACUCUAAAGGAACUGCCUACGCAAGUAGUGAGGAAGGCGGGGAUGACGUCAAAUCAGCACGGCCCUUACGUCCAGGGCUACACACGUGCUACAAUGGCCGAUACAGAGGGCAGCUACCUGGUGACAGGAUGCAAAUCUCCAAAAGUCGGUCUCAGUUCGGAUCGGAGUCUGCAACCCGACUCCGUGAAGUUGGAUUCGCUAGUAAUCGCGCAUCAGCCAUGGCGCGGUGAAUACGUUCCCGGGCCUU
rnacentral:rRNA from 1 species